rnacentral:rRNA from 1 species
UACGGAGGGGGCAAGCGUUGUUCGGAAUUAUUGGGCGUAAAGCGUAUGUAGGCGGUUGAACAAGUCAGACGUGUAAGCCCUCGGCUCAACCGAGGAAUUGCGUUUGAAACUGUUUAACUUGAGUUCGGGAGAGGAAAGCGGAAUUCCCAGUGUAGCGGUGAAAUGCAUUGAUAUUGGGAAGAACAUCGGUGGCGAAGGCGGCUUUCUGGCCUGUUACUGACGCUGAGAUACGAAAGCUAGGGGAGCGAACGGG